rnacentral:rRNA from 1 species
UACGAAGGGGGCUAGCGUUGCUCGGAAUUACUGGGCGUAAAGCGCACGUAGGCGGAUUGUUAAGUCGGGGGUGAAAUCCUGGAGCUCAACUCCAGAACUGCCUUCGAUACUGGCGAUCUCGAGUUCGGGAGAGGUGAGUGGAACUGCGAGUGUAGAGGUGAAAUUCGUAGAUAUCGAGAAGAACACCGGUGGCGAAGGCGGCCAUCUGGACGGUGACUGACGCUGAGACGCGAAAGCGUGGGGAGCAAACAGG